rnacentral:rRNA from 1 species
CCUACGCGAGGCAGCAGUGGGGAAUUUUGCGCAAUGCUCGUAAGAGUGACGCAGCGACGCCGCGUGAAUGACGAAGGCCUUCGGGUCGUAAAGUUCUUUCGACAGGGAAGAAAAUGCCUAUAAGUAACUGUGUAUGUAUUGACGGUACCUGUAUAAGCAGCCCCGGCUAACUCCGUGCCAGCAGCCGCGGUAAUACGGAGGGGGCGAGCGUUGUUCGGAGUGACUGGGCGUAAAGAGCACGUAGGCGGUGUUGUAAGUCAUUAGUCAAAGACUAGAGCUCAACUUUAGUAAGGUUAGUGAUACGAUAAUAAUAGAGGAGCAGAGAGGAUUGGAGAAGUCCUGGGGUAGCGGGGAAAUGCGUAGAUACCAGGAGGAAUAACGUUAGCGAAGGCGGCAAUCUGGCUGGAAACUGACGCUGAGGUGCGAAAGCGUGGGUAGCAAACAGGAUUAGAUACCCGGGUAGUC